rnacentral:rRNA from 1 species
AUGCGGAGGGUGCAAGCGUUAUUCGGAAUCACUGGGCGUAAAGGACGCGUAGGCGGGUUGGCAAGUCAGAUGUGAAAUCCUACAGCUUAACUGUAGAACUGCAUUUGAAACUGCUAACCUAGAGUAUGGGAGGGGGAGAUGGAAUUAGUGGUGUAGGGGUAAAAUCCGUAGAUAUCACUAGGAAUACCGAAAGCGAAGGCGAUCUCCUGGAACAUAACUGACGCUAAGGCGUGAAAGCGUGGGGAGCAAACAGGAUUAGAUACCCCAGUAGUCC